rnacentral:rRNA from 1 species
AUUGAACGCUGGCGGCAGGCCUAACACAUGCAAGUCGAACGAGUGGCGGACGGGUGAGUAAUGUCUGGGAAACUGCCCGAUGGAGGGGGAUAACUACUGGAAACGGUAGCUAAUCCCGCAUACCAUCGGAUGUGCCCAGAUUGGAUUAGCUUGUAGGUGAGGUAACGGCUCACCUAGGCGACGAUCCCUAGCUGGUCUGAGAUGAUGACCAGCGAGAAUGGAACGGAGACACGGUGCAGACUCCGACGGGAGGCAGCAGUGGGGAAUAUUGAACAAGGGGCGCGAGCCUGAUGCAGCCAUGCCGAGGGUAUGAAGAAGGCCUUCGGGUUGUAAAGUACUUUCAGCGGGGAGGCGUUACCCGCAGAAGAAGCACCGGCUAACGCCGUGCCAGCCGCCGCGGUAAUAC